rnacentral:rRNA from 1 species
UACGAAGGGGGCUAGCGUUGCUCGGAAUCACUGGGCGUAAAGCGCACGUAGGCGGAUUGUUAAGUCAGGGGUGAAAUCCUGGAGCUCAACUCCAGAACUGCCUUUGAUACUGGCGAUCUCGAGUCCGGGAGAGGUGAGUGGAACUGCGAGUGUAGAGGUGAAAUUCGUAGAUAUUCGCAAGAACACCAGUGGCGAAGGCGGCUCACUGGCCCGGUACUGACGCUGAGGAGCGAAAGCGUGGGUAGCAAACAGG